UCAACCUUCAGUUGGCCACCCUGAAAGUAAGGCUUAUAUUGUCCUGUAUGCGUUUGUGGUUUGCAGUUGCUGCAACCAUGCUGGAUGCCGUUCGUGUUCGUGUGUGCAAACAAAGUGUGUUUGUAAAUCACAUUGUCCGUUCUUUGUAUUUAGCUCCCGUAUGAAAUAAACUGUAGCCGUAACGGGCAACCGCACCGUCACACACAGAAAACCCUGGUUG